rnacentral:rRNA from 1 species
GACGAACGCUGGCGGCGUGCCUAACACAUGCAAGUCGAACGGGACUGGGGGCAACUCCAGUUCAGUGGCGGACGGGUGCGUAACACGUGAGGAACAUGACUUUCGGUGGGGGAGAGCCGGCCCAACGGCCGGGUAAUACCGCGUACGACCUCCCGGGGACAUCCCCGGUUGGUGAAAGCAGCAAUGCGCCGAAAGAGUGCCUCGCGGCCUAUCAGCUAGUUGGUGGGGUAACGGUCCACCAAGGCGACGACGGGUAGCUGGUCUGAGAGGAUGGCCAGCCACAUUGGGACUGAGACACGGCCCAGACUCCUACGGGAGGCAGCAGUGGGGAAUAUUGCGCAAUGGGCGAAAGCCUGACGCAGCGACGCCGCGUGUGGGAUGACGGCCUUCGGGUUGUAAACCACUGUCGGGAGGGACGAAUGCCCCGCAAGGGGAGUGACGGUACCUCCAAAGGAAGCACCGGCUAACUCCGUGCCAGCAGCCGCCGUAAUAC